AAAGAUAUUCCAAUUAUAAUCUAGGAUCAAUGCGGAUUAACGAAGCAAUUUACACGUUAUUAAUAAGCAAAAAGCAUAAGUAUAUGUAUACUCACCUCCUUGAUGUACCUGAGAUGGAAUCAAUUAUUAAACAUUUGAAAUUGAUAGCACAACUAUGAUAUGUAUAAUCAACUAACUGUUGUGUUCCAUGUUUAAUAAACCAUAGGAAGCUUUUCAUAACUUAUUUAUUACAUAUCAGAAAAUGAGGCACAGAUUAUCACAUCAUUCAUCGCAUAUAUUUACUCGUGUGCAUCCAUAUCGACAAAGAUAUCUUUUACUUGUGC